rnacentral:lncRNA from 1 species
AUCGCUAACAUGUUAAUGAAAUAAAUGUUGACCAGACACCAAACUACCCAUCUCCCUGUUGCAGAACUCAAACAUGUAUGGUGGGACUACAGGACAUGUCACUUUAUAUCAUCAGGAAAGAGUCUUCCUCACUUUUUGCAAGUCUCUUCACUUAGAAUCCUCACUCAAUAUCUAUUGCAUCUAUUCAAAUCAUGUUCCAGAUGGGUCAGAAAUCCCAGGUACACAUGUCAGGGGCUAGACUCCAGCUGAGACUGGCACACUGCUGGGCCAAAUGCUGGACUGCUGUCUGCCAUCAUUGCAGAUCUCUCUUGCUGGUGGCUCUUAUCCCAGCUACUGACAGGGCCCUCCCAUUUGCCCUGCAUCUACUUGGGCAGGCAGGA